rnacentral:rRNA from 1 species
CCGCAGCCCUAGUGGUGAUCGCUAUUAUUGAGCCUAAAGCGUCCGUAGCCGGCUUGAUAAAUCCUUGGGUAAAUCGGGCAGCUCAACUGUCCGAAGUCCGAGGUGACUGUCAAGCUUGGAACCGGAAGAGGUCAGAGGUACUCCAGGGGUAGGGGUGAAAUCCUGUAAUCCUUUGGGGACCACCAGUGGCGAAGGCGUCUGACUAGAACGGAUCCGACGGUAAGGGACGAAACCCUGGGGCGCGAACCGGAUUAGAUACCCGAGUAGUCC